rnacentral:rRNA from 1 species
GACGAACGCUGGCGGCGUGCUUAACACAUGCAAGUCGAACGGUAAGGCCCUUCGGGGUACACGAGUGGCGAACGGGUGAGCAACACGUGGGUGAUCUGCCCUGCACUUCGGGAUAAGCCUGGGAAGCUGGGUCUAAUACCGGAUAGGACCCUGGGAUGCAUGUCCUGGGGUGGAAAGCUUUUGCGGUGUGGGAUGGGCCCGCGGCCUAUCAGCUUGUUGGUGGGGUGAUGGCCUACCAAGGCGACGACGGGUAGCCGGCCUGAGAGGGUGACCGGCCACACUGGGACUGAGAUACGGCCCGGACUCCUACGGGAGGCAGCAGUGGGGAAUAUUGCACAAUGGGCGCAAGCCUGAUGCAGCGACGCCGCGUGAGGGAUGACGGCCUUCGGGUUGUAAACCUCUUUCAGCACCGACGAAGCGCAAGUGACGGUAGGUGCAGAAGAAGGACCGGCCAACUACGUGCCAGCAGCCGCCGUAA